CUUAAUACCAAAGAGACCCCAUCACAAUAAAAAAUCAAGUCACAGUCAUCAUUCUUCCUCGUUAUAUACUUCAUCAAACCUCAUGAACAGAAAUCUAAUAAAAUACUACAGUUUAUCAAGCUGGGAUCCAUGGAUUCCAUGUGUUAUGGUUAAAAGUAAUGUGCAACUUUUUUUAUAUAAAUUUGUAUAGUGAAAUAUAAAGAAAAGGAGAAAAAGAAAGGAAAGAAAGAUGGAGAUGGUGCCUUGGGCCAUACUUAAAAAAGGAACAUACAAAACACGUUGAUGUGGCUGCCUUCAGUCUCGAUUAUCCAAUGGUUGGUUGGUGUCUUGAUUUGGGUCCAUAACUCCAUAUAUGCUAUUUAGUAGAUCUAACGUCUAUAUAUAAAGAUAGUGUAAUUAAUAUUUCAUAUUUGCAAGAGGCCAAGAGCCUCAGACACUGUAAGAGAAAUGGGGUGGCUCAAUUCCUUCUUCUCUCCCUUGAAGAAACUAUGGUAUCGCGUCAAUUCUGCUCAAAAGAAGAGAAGAGGAAUAUACGUAUUAUACGAGGACGUGAAGUCAUGUCCAUGCGAAGAUGUGCAUGUUUUGUGGUCUAUACUCGUGGAGUCUCACCCACAUACUUUGCAACCCAAACAAUAAAAAUUUCAUUUCUUUUGAUGUUUAAGUCUCUUUUGGUUCAGAUGGUUCAUAUAUGUAUCGACUGUAUAUGCGCAAGGACGAGACAAAGGAGAAACUUACAUAAAAGUUAAAGAUUGAUGGGGAAAGGAGAGUGAACAGAAGUUGAACUGUCGUGGGGAUUGUUGGCUUGUGUCGGCUGGGUUAUGUUGACGUUAUUUGGACUUUGGAAAGUUGCGGUUGGUUUCAUUUUGCGUUUCUUAUUCAUUUAUACAUAUAAGCUGAAUGUUGAACUAGCAUUCUUUAAAGAAAAUAAUUAAGGACAAGCCCAAAAAGAAUGUUAUGAUCUA